rnacentral:rRNA from 1 species
UACGGAGGGGGCAAGCGUUAUUCGGAAUCAUUGGGCGUAAAGGGCGCGUAGGCGGCCUGGCAAGUCAAAGGUGAAAUCCCUCGGCCCAACCGAGGAACUGCCUUUGAAACUGCAAGGCUUGAGGCCGGGAGAGGGUAGCGGAAUUCCCAGUGUAGCGGUGAAAUGCGUAGAUAUGACAUAGAACACCAAUUGCGAAGGCAGCUUACUACACAGUAAUUGACACUGAGGCACGAAAGCGUGGGGAUCAAACAGG